GCACCCCGCUGACCCGGUUCUGUUCCCGCUAACGCAGCUCGGGGGGCUGCAGUUUGACAAGGAGCUGCGCUCGCUGGUGGCGUACCUGACCACCAUCACCACCUGGACCAUCCGCGACAAGUUUGCCCGCCUCACACAGAUGGCCACCGUCCUCAACCUGGAGAGGGUCACGGAGAUCCUGGACUACUGGGGGCCCAACUCGGGGCCCCUGACCUGGCGCCUGACCCCCGCCGAGGUGCGGCAGGUCCUUGCACUCCGCAUCGACUUCCGCAGCGAAGACAUAAAGCGGCUCCGCCUGUAGGGGGGGGAUGGGGGGGACCUGUGUCUGAGACCAAGACCAGGAUGCGGUCUGGGACCGGGACCAGGACCGGUCUGGAACCAGGACGAGGCCCGAGACCAAGUCGUGGUCUGGGACCAGGACACAGCCCGAGACAAGGACCGGGACGCAGUCUGGGACCGGGACCAGGAUUCGGUCUGGAACCAGGACGCAGCCCGAGACAAGGACCGGGACGCGGUCUGGAACCGGGACCAGGAUCAUGGAUCGGGUCGCCGUCCAUCGUGCGGCAGCGGGCUGCUGAGGCUCUGCUGGGACUGAACUCGUAGAUCCAUUCUUUACUUGUGUUCUUCCAGACCAGUUCUUGUGUACAUAUGUUAUCAGGGUGAGGGGUGGGACUGUGAUUAGUCUUGAGGAAGGAGAACAUUUUCCCUGGCGUUAAACACCUCAGCCUUCCUGUGAGCACCGCUGAGUCGGAGUGGAUCUGGGCUCCGGCCCGGGGGGCAUCGGAGCGUUUCAGGGGAAUAUGAAAUGUAAAAGAAUCUGUCAAAUGUUUAAUUUCAUGAUAACGUCGAUCUGGGAGUUGAGUUUUUUUAUAUCUGUAAGUAAGACUGCGCUAGAUGUGUCAGGCAGCGCGUAAUGAACACACUCCAUUAGAGGACAGAAGCGGGUCAGACGACUGAUCCAACGUUCAACACAUGAAUAGCUUCUUGUCUGCGCUGAUGGGACACUUUUAACCUAAUAAAUUGAGAGGCUGUACAAUGCUGUUGAUCUCUGCUGUGCUACAUUCUGCAAAGUGCUGUCCUAUCAGCGCGGAGGCCGCCACAAAGCCUUUGUAUUGCGGCCACAUCGGAGUCACUGAGUACAGCGCAUUAUGCACAAGGUAAUGAACCAUUAAAAGAGGGCCACUCUAAUAACGUCGCCUCAUCUCCACAGCUAACCUUAAUCUGUAGACGGGUCUGCUGAGGAGACACUGCUUUGUGUGUGUGUUUGUGUGUGGUGCACGUGGAUUAAAGACGCGGCAGACAUUGGGAAUAGUUAGGAAAAGUGUGGCUUUAAUGUAAACACAACAUUCGAUUGGCUCAGCACAAACAUUCCACAUGAGAGCAACCAAUAAAACUACGGAGUAGGAUGGGAUGCAGCACAAAAACAUUCACAGUAAAAAAAAAAUCUGGUAUAAUCAUAAUAUAUAUAUACAGUACGGUGUUUCAAGGUGAGAAUGGAAAGAGCAUAUGAGGAGUGAUAUGUGAUAGAUAAAGAGUAUACAGGGAAAGGAGGAUGGAGGAUGGAUAUCAGGAGUGGAGAGAUGGAGAGCUGUACGACCCACAGACCGGGGGGCGUGGUGCACUGUGUCUGUGAAGGGGCAGGGCUAAACGCCUAGCUCACUGGAGAGGGGGCGGGGCUAAACGCCUAGCUCACUGGAGAGGGGGCGGGGCUAAACGCCUAGCUCACUGGAGAGGGGGCGGGGCCAGACGCUUAGCUCACUGGAGAGGGGGCGGGGCUAAACGCCUAGCUCACUGGAUAGGAGGGGGGGGGGGGGGCUUAACGCCUAGCUCAGUGGAGAGGAGGCUGGGCUAAACGCCUAGCUCACUGGAGAGGGGGCGGGGUUAGACGCCUAGCUCACUGGAGAGGGGGCGGGGUUAGACGCCUAGCUCACUGGAGAGGGGGCGGGGGUAAACCCCCAGGAGAGGGGGGGCGUGUCAAGGCGCCAUCCCGGUAGAGUUCUACGUCUAUCAGAGUGGGGGCUGCAGGCGGUCGCGGUGGCGGAGCCCUCCGACUCGUUCACAGGUUACUGCCCCCCCUCGAGUGACGGGGGGAUGAGGGCAUGUUCUAAGGAGGUGGGAGGGUGCAUGCAGGGCAUGAGGUCUAAAUAACUCAUCCGAUGAUAUUAAAAUGCAAGGUGUUGCUUCAAUGACAUUAGGUGAUUCGACACUAGUGACCCAUGAUGGCUUCUCCCUGUCAUUCUCAGAAGGUUGGCACUGAUAUGACAUCCCCCCCCACCUAUCAUUGGCUGAUCAGAGGCAUUCUAUCCACUGCAGGGGGCCCAAUAUAAAAAGAGCCGGCGCCACUUUAACAGAGCCAUCCUCAUCUCCUUUAUGUGUUUGAAGAGAAAGAAAGAGUGAGAAAGACAAACGGAGGUUCCUGCAGGCUACUGGCAUUAAGCAGUCAUGUGCGACCAGAAGAAAGGGGAGCUUUGUCCCAGUGAGCGCUAAAGAGCUCUGUUCAUCUCCAGCAUGACCCCCAGCCACCGGUACAGUUCCCCCCCUACACCACCACCACCACCUAUAUAUAUAUAGAAGUAGAGCAUCUGUGGCCGGGCGGCACCAGGGGUUAUUCAGCAGGACAGCGGCUCUCUCGGCCUCGCUGAUCAAAUGUAAAGGACGACCACUAUCUUUUUUUUUGGUGUUUUUUUAAGGAAAUGUUAAAAGAGUACAUUGUGCAUUCCGUGCAUCGGAUUU